rnacentral:rRNA from 1 species
AAAGGCUGCGGUAUUUUGACCGUACAAAGGUAGCAUAAUCAUUAGUUUUUUAAUUGAAAACUCGUAUGAAUGGUUUAACGAAAUAUUAGCUGUUUCAAAAAAAUUUUAGUAGAAAUUAAUUUUUUAGUUAAAAAGCUAAAAUAACAUUAAAAGACGAGAAGACCCUAUAGAGUUUAAUAUUAUUUAUAUUUUUAUUUAUUUAAAAAGAUUAAAAUUUUAGUAAAAAAUAUAUUUAGUUGGGGUGACAGUAAAAUUUUAAAAUCUUUUAUUAAUUUUUAACCAAUGAUUUUUGUUUAAUUGAUCCAUUAAUAGUGAUUACAAGAUUAAAUUACCUUAGGGAUAACAGCG